GUUUUGGCAGAGAAGUGACAGCGCUGUGAUAGAUGGGCCCGAUAGUUGUGUGUGUUGUGCUUGCUCGGAGUUAGUAGAAAAGAGGAGGGAGAGAGCGAGCGAGAGGGGGGAGAAAAAAAAAGACAGGGAAGGAGAGAGAGAGAGAGAGAUUGAGAGAGAGCGAGAGACUUGGCAAAGGAAAUCUUAUGGGUAUACUGAAACAGCAGAUCAGAAUUGUGAAACCAGAGCCAGGGCUGAAAUGUGAUGCUUUUGCUCUUUUGUGCUUGUUGUGGUUCUCAUCUUCCCAUGUAGAAGGCUGCAUACCAUUCAACAGAAUAUUUUGAUCGCAGAUUGAACAAUGCAGCAAUCAAGCCUGAUAAGCCACCUGGAAGUUUUGCUUGAGACGAUUUCUAAUGGGUUUUCUGAUCCCUCUGAGCAUCAUGACUGCCUUUAGCAUUGUGGAGGAGGACUCGAGUUUCUUAUGAGGGCCCCACUUGGAAAAGCAGGCUGUGCAGAUUCAAGCCUCCGGUUCUGUUCAUGCUGUUCAAAAGCCUUUCCUCACCCUUGCUGAUUUGUUUUUAUGAUUUACAUACACUCCUGUGGAGAUUUACAGAAUGGAUUGUCUGUGCAUUGUCACGACCAAGCAGAGCCAUGGCAGAUGCCCAUCCCACAAAUGCUCAGUCGAAACACCUGCCUGGAUACCCAUUCAGCACUCUACCGUAAGUUUGAGCCUUUUAAUCCAAAGCUUUGAGAGACUGAAUGGUAAGUCUCUGUGUUUGGAGCAGCCCUGUCAGGUAAAAUUUCAAUACUAAGCGCAUUUGAGAAAGAACAGAAACGAGUCCUGAUGCCAGACCAAACUCCGUGGGAAGCCUGAGCUGUUGAAAUGUUGGGUAUGGGCUUAGCAGGGCUUCUUCAAAAGUUCAUGCUCUUCCGAAAUUUAAUUCUUUCCACGUGGAGCAACGGGGCAGGCGUGGCAUAGUUGUUGGUGGUGUCCAUCUCAGGGGGAGCGUGGAGUUACUGCUGAUUGCUCCAACUGUGCUCCAGCUGCGUGUGAUGACUAGCAGCCUGCUAGUUUUGCCCUAUCAUGGGCACAGUUUGUGGGAAUUCAUUCAUAAGCUCCUGCAGGGUCUGCCAGAAAUAACUGAUGUUUAAAGCACCAGCCUGUCCCCAGGCUCAGGUGGUGACACAAGGAAAGGGGGAUGCAGCUUUUCUUUUCCAUG
rnacentral:lncRNA from 1 species